GAGCCAGCGUGGACCACGUGUUUCCAGUUAGGUUCAUCAGAACCUGAUGUGGGGAGGCCGGAGUGAGCACGAGGGACCUGAAACUGGGAAGCCUGGAACUAGAGUGGGAACGGCGGCACAGGGCGAGUCUGUGUUGGUGGGCACUCCAGAUACUCAAAUGUCUGUGUACAAGCACUGAAAAGCAAACUAAUGGAUGGAUUUACCUGGACAGCAUAGAGGAGGUGCAUCCUGUAGACUGACACUAUCUCAUUGUGCUGCUUCUUUGACUCCUAAAAAGAAAACAAGAGGUAAAUAGAAAUGUUUUCAC